CUCGGGGUGACUCAUGAAGUUGUGGAUGGAGCUGCGUGACUCCGGCGUCUCCAGGCCCUCGUAAGGAGACACACUGUCUCUGAACGCAUUCACAACACGAAUCUACGAGACAAGGAGGAGUGGAAGCUCCUCCAGCUCCUCCUCAGGGAUCUCCUCCUGCUGGGUGCCAUGACCGGCUGUUUUCAGGAACCGCAGCCAGCUGGUGGGAACGCUGGACACCAGCUGGGAGAGGAACAAGAUUACAAACCAGUCAGAGACACAAAAACAAACACCAGUCUGAGGUCAGCUGGGGAGACCAGAUGACCUGCUUUGUUAAGAUGAUUUAUCCGGCAAGUUAAGAUGGUUUCCUGCAUUCUAGUUGACGGCCAAAAUUCUACAAGAUAAACGCUUAGAUUUAAAGUAGGCACAGAAAAUACUUAAUUAUUCUGUUAUGUUUUUGCUCACAUGUGAGUCGGAUGUCAGAACUAUUUAUUUCCUCCUUAUAUGGACGGUGACGUCACAACAAUGUCACCGUUUUGUUUUUUUGUUUUUUGUUUUUAAGCAUAUGCACUGACUGAUGGCACCUUUUAAAUUUUGUUGUCCUUGUGACAAUGACAAUAAAGAUUUAUCUCUAUCUCAAUGUUACACCAGACAACCACAGCAGAUGCUGUCAUAAUACGAUCGGCUCCAGAAACGACAAAAAGUACAUACUUGUCUUCUGUAAUCCUCAGAUCAAUAAAAUCCUGAUUUAUGA